UCUCCUGUAGUUUAAUUGGCAAAACAUUACGCUGUUAACGUAAAGUUGUAGGUUCGAAUCCUACUGGGAGAGCCA
rnacentral:tRNA from 1 species